AGAGUUUGAUCCUGGCUCAGGAUGAACGCUGGCGGCGUGCCUAAUACAUGCAAGUCGAACGAAGAGCUACCAGGUAUUUAUACCAGGUGGUGUCUUAGUGGCGAACGGGUGAGUAACGCGUUGGUGACCUGCCCCGAAGUGGGGGACAACUCCGGGAAACUGGAGCUAAUACCCCAUGUGGUAAUAAGGAUUAGAACCCCUAUUACAAAAGGCUUCGGUCGCUUCGGGAGGGGCCUGCGUCCCAUCAGCUAGUUGGUAGGGUAACGGCCUACCAAGGCAAAGACGGGUAGGGGGCCUGAGAGGGUGACCCCCCACAAUGGAACUGAAACACGGUCCAUACACCUACGGGUGGCAGCAGUAGGGAAUAUUGCCCAAUGGGCGAAAGCCUGAGGCAGCAACGCCGCGUGUGCGAUGAAGGCCUUCGGGUUGUAAAGCACUUUUCUGAGGGAAGAGGAAGGACGGUACCUCAGGAAUAAGGCUCGGCUAACUACGUGCCAGCAGCCGCGGUAAAACGUAGGAGUCAAGCGUUAUCCGAAUUUACUGGGCGUAAAGCGCGUGCAGGCGGUGCGAUAAGUUGGAUGUGAAAGCUCCCGGCUCAACUGGGAGAGGUCGUUCAAUACUGUCGCACUAGAGGACGGUAGAGGGAGGUGGAAUUCCCGGUGUAGUGGUGAAAUGCGUAGAUAUCGGGAGGAACACCAGUGGCGAAGGCGGCCUUCUGGGCCGAUCCUGACGCUCAGACGCGAAAGCUAGGGUAGCAAACGGGAUUAGAAACCCCGGUAGUCCUAGCUGUAAACGAUGUAGACUUGGCGUUGGUGGUCUAAAACC
rnacentral:rRNA from 1 species